UACGGGGGGGGCAAGCGUUGUUCGGAAUUACUGGGCGUAAAGGGCUCGUAGGCGGCCAACUAAGUCGGAUGUGAAAUCCCCAGGCUCAACUUGGGAACUGCAUCCGAUACUGGAUGGCUUGAAUUCGGGAGAGGGAUGCAGAAUUCCAGGUGUAGCGGUGAAAUGCGUAGAGAUCCGGAGGAACACCGAAGGCGAAGGCAGUGUCCUGGCGCGUAACUGACGCUGAGGUGCGAAAGCCAGGGGAGCGAACGGG
rnacentral:rRNA from 1 species